rnacentral:rRNA from 1 species
AGAGUUUGAUCCUGGCUCAGGAUGAACGCUAGCGGCAGGCCUAACACAUGCAAGUCGAGGGGUAACAGAAAGAAGCUUGCUUUUUUGCUGACGACCGGCGCACGGGUGAGUAACGCGUAUAGAACCUACCUUGUACUGGAGAAUAACCAGAAGAAAUUCUGACUAAUACUCCAUAGUAUGUAUAGAUUUCAUGAUUUUUACAUUAAAGAUUUAUCGGUAUAAGAUGGCUCUGCGUCCUAUUAGCUAGAUGGUGUGGUAACGGCACACCAUGGCGACGAUAGGUAGGGGCCCUGAGAGGGGGAUCCCCCACACUGGUACUGAGACACGGACCAGACUCCUACGGGAGGCAGCAGUGAGGAAUAUUGGACAAUGGAGGCAACUCUGAUCCAGCCAUGCCGCGUGCAGGAAGACUGCCCUAUGGGUUGUAAACUGCUUUUAUACAGGAAGAAACCGCUCUACGUGUAGAGUUCUGACGGUACUGUAAGAAUAAGGAUCGGCUAACUCCGUGCCAGCAGCCGCGGUAAUACGGAGGAUCCAAGCGUUAUCCGGAAUCAUUGGGUUUAAAGGGUCCGUAGGUGGAUAAUUAAGUCAGGGGUGAAAGUCUGCAGCUCAACUGUAGAAUUGCCUUUGAUACUGGUUAUCUUGAAUUAUUAUGAAGUAGUUAGAAUAUGUAGUGUAGCGGUGAAAUGCAUAGAUAUUACAUAGAAUACCAAUUGCGAAGGCAGAUUACUAAUAAUAUAUUGACACUGAUGGACGAAAGCGUGGGGAGCGAACAGGAUUAGAUACCCUGGUAGUCCACGCCGUAAACGAUGGUUACUAGCUGUUCGGACUU